GUGUCAGCCGCCGCGGUAAUACGGAGGGUGCAAGCGUUAUCCGGAUUCACUGGGUUUAAAGGGUGCGUAGGUGGGCUAGUAAGUCAGUGGUGAAAUCUCCGGGCUUAACCCGGAAACUGCCAUUGAUACUAUUAGUCUUGAAUGUUGUGGAGGUAAGCGGAAUAUGUCAUGUAGCGGUGAAAUGCUUAGAUAUGACAUAGAACACCGAUAGCGUAGGCAGCUUACUACACAAAUAUUGACACUGAGGCACGAAAGCGUGGGGAUCAAACAGGAUUAGAAACCCCAGUAGUCC
rnacentral:rRNA from 1 species